GCAGUUCCUCAGGUAAAUCCAGCUUGAGUGACUUAAGUUUCGAAGCAAGAUGAGACAUUUCCAAAAUGUACUCCCUAAUGAUUCCCUUGCCCUUAUACCUCAUGGAAACAAGUCUACUCAAAAGAGUACUUGUCUCCGCCUUUUCGUUUUGCUCAAAACGCUUUUCAAGGUUUUCAAGGAAAACUUUGGCAUUAGCUUCAUCAUUCAUAGUGCCCCUGAAUGAUUCCGGAAUUGCACGUUUCAUGAUCN
rnacentral:lncRNA from 1 species